AACGAACGCUGGCGGCAGGCCUAAAACAUGCAAGUCGAACGCCCCGCAAGGGGAGUGGCGCACGGGUGAGUAACGCGUGGGAACGUGCCCUUCACUACGGGACAACGUCGGGAAACUGACGCUAAUACCGUAUAAUGACUCCGGUCCAAAGAUUUAUCGGUGAAGGAGCGGCCCGCGUCUGAUUAGCUAGUUGGUGAGGUAAUGGCUCACCAAGGCUACGAUCAGUAGCAGGUCUGAGAGGAUGAUCUGCCACACUGGGACUGAGACACGGCCCAGACUCCUACGGGAGGCAGCAGUUAGGAAUAUUGGACAAUGGGCGAAAGCCUGAUCCAACCAUGCCGCGUGUGUGAUGAAGGCCCUAGGGUUGUAAAGCACUUUCAUUGGGGAAGAUAAUGACUGUACCCAAAGAAGAAGCACCGGCUAACUUCGUGCCAGCCGCCGCGGUAA
rnacentral:rRNA from 1 species